ensembl:lncRNA
UGAUUAUUUUUUUAUGUCCUAAAGAUUUGCUUAGUGCAUUCAACAAUAACAUGAUCUGGAGAAAGGCCCCAUUUUGGAUUCUACAAGGUCUGAAUUAUAGUCUCUUCCUUGCCACUAACGAGCUGACUUUGAGAAAAUCCUCUUCACACUUUCAUCAUCUGUCAAAAAGAGAUAAUAAUUCUGAUUACUUCCAUAAUAGCAUUUCUAGUGAUAGACGUGGAGACUAGGAGAGAAUAUACCAAAUUGCAAUGUAUCCAAGUACUCUGAGAGACCAACUCCUACAGAUCCAGGAAGGGUGCCAUUCCCUCUAAGGACACUACUGAUAAGAUCUGGCCCACCCAGGAUCAUCUUUCUAUCUUCAAGUGAACUGAUUUGGGACAUUAUUCACAUCUACAAAAUCCCUUCACAGGAGCACCUAAGUUUCGUGUUUGAACAGCUGGAAAAAGAUGGAGACUCGUUAUCUUACUGGUCUCAAACUCCUGGGCUCAAGUGAUCCUCCUGCCUUGGCCUCCUUCCUAAAGUGCUUACAGGUAUAAGCCAUCAUGUUCAACUUGUUUUAUGAUUAGGCAAAGAUGCACAAGAAAAUAAUCUCCAUUCUGUUUUUCAGGCCAAGUGCAGUGGCUCACACCGUCACUUUGGGAGGCCAAGGGAGGUGGAUUGCUUGAGGUCAGGAGUUCAAGACCAGCCUGACUAACACGGUGAAACCCUGUCUCUACUAAAAAUACAAAAAUUAGCUGGGCAUGGUGGUUGGUGUCUGUAAUCUCAGUCACUCAAGAGGCUGAGGCAGGAGUAUCACUUGAACCCAGGAGGCGGAGGUUUUAGUGAGCCAAGAUCCUGCCACUACACUCCAACCUGGGUGAUAGAGCGAGACUCCGUCUCAAACAAACAAAAAGAAAACGAAUAAUCUCCAUUCUCUUUUUUGCUGCAUCAGCUUCCCUUCAAACACAGGCCAUUAUGGACACUGGUCUCUGUUUGGAGGUUAACUUAUAUAUUUUUUUCUUCCAGAUUCUAUGUAAAUUAUUGAUUCCUCUGGAAAAGCCUCCUCAAUUUUCCGGAUUAGGCUGGCAACUGGAUUCUAAGAAAGUGCAUUACAAGAGGCUUAAUCCUAUGUGCAAGUUCAUCAAACUUCUGCUUACACUAUGUUUGGAAUGUCCCAAUGGUGAAAGUUAAUUGUAUGGCCAAACCCAGUGUCAACAUGAAAGGAGAUUACUCGAGGGCAAAAUACCUGAAGGCAUGAUUCACUGAGGCCACCAAAGUCUAUCACAUCUAGUGAAUCUUUCCUUUAUAAGACUCAACAUUGUUUCCAAUUAUGUAUUUUUUUGUGUUAUUUACUAUCGCUAUCUCUUAGUAGGCACUAAAAUCCAUGAAAACAGAGACCUUUUUGUAUUUUGUUAAGCAUUGUGGAAUGGAACCUAAAAUGCAAUUGAAAAGUUCCGAAGAGACCCAAGUGGCUGAGAAACUAACAAUAGACACCAUCAUGCAGGGCUUGCAAUAGGAAUUGUUCAAAACUGGUCUGUCCAGGGUUGGCUGAUUCACACUAUUUUGGAGAGAGUCUCACCUCAAGUCAAGUAAGAGGAUUUAAAAAUGACUUGGAAAACUUAACAUAUGGCUAUUGGAUUUGGGGACACUAUCCAGGGAGAAGAACCAGAGAUUGGGGUCAGUCAUAUGGCCAAGGGUUUAAUCAAUCAUGCCUUCAUAAUGAGACCUCAAUAAAAGCUCUGGACACCUAGGUUUGGAGGAGCUUCCCGGCUGGUGAAUACAGUGAAGUGCUGGGAGGGUGAUGCUCCCUGACUCCUCCAGGGAAGGGCAGUGAAGCUCUGUGUUCCCUCCCAGACCUUGGCCUAUGUAAUCUUUUAGUUUUUAAAUUUUUCACUGUUUUUUAAUAUCUUGAUACCUAUGUGUAUUCUUCACAAUAAAACUAUUAUUUCAUAUAUAGCAUGUUUCUGAGUUCUGUGAGUCAUUCUGGUGAAUUAUCAAACCUGAAAUGGUUGUGGGAACUCUCAAAUUUGCAUCCAGUUAGAGUAUGAGUGGCCUGGGAUCCCCUGAAGCUUAUAGCUGGUGUCUGAAGUGCGAGCUGUCUUGUGAAGGACAAAGUCCUUGACUUGUGGAGUCUGUGCCAGCUCUGGUUGGUUAGUGUCCGAAACGAAUUGCAGUACACUCAGUCACUCUGUUCGUGUUGUUACACUAAGUUGGCAAUGAAAUGAAACGCUGUAUAAUUAGCCAUCCAAAUAUUUAGUUGUUUAAAAUAAUUUAAAAAUUGGGCUGGGUGCAGUGGCUCACACCUGUAAUCCUGGCACUUUAGGAGGCUGAGCAGAUCACUUGAGGUCAGGAGUUCAAGACCAGCCUAGCCAACAUGGUGAAACCCCAUCUCUACUAAAAAUGCAAAAAUUAGCCAAGCAUGGUGGUGCAUGCUUGUAGUCCCAGCUACUCAGGAGACUGAGGCUGGAAUCGCUUGAACCUGGGAGGUGGAGGUUAUAGUGAGCCCAGAUCAUGCCACUGUACUCUAGCCUGAGCAACAGAGUGAGACUCCAUCUCAAAAAGCAAACAAACAAAAGCAAGUGAACACAAAAUUGAUUUCUUAUAGUUCUGUAGGUUGCUUGGGCUCAGGUGAUUGCCCUUCACUUUGAGCUCUGCUUUGCAGAUGUGAGAAAGCAGGUGAGGCCUGGGCAAACGGUGCCUGGGCAGGGUUGGCUAGAGCAGCCUGGGAUGGCUGGGCGUCUUUCUCUCUUCAUAGUAAACCUGACUUUUCUCACAGCAGGGUGAUUUUAGUGCAGUCAGACUUCUUGUAUGGUGGCUGACUUCUCCAUGAUUGAGUGUUCCAAGAGAUAGGAAGUGGAAGCUGCUAUUCCUUCGACAACCAGUCCUGAAAAUGAAUACAGCUUUACUUCCUGGCAGGCUAUUGGGUAAAACAGUCACAAAACCCACCCAGACUUAAGAGGAUGGGACAUACAACCCCACUUCUUGAUGGAAGGAAUAUCAGAUAAUUUAUGGCCAUAUUUAAUCUGCUUCAUGUUCUUUUUGGCGUUUGAUAAUGUUUACCACAAAUGAUAAUGACUUUAUGUAG